GGGGUUGUGGCUCAGUGAUAGAGCACUUGCCUAGCAUGUGUGAGGCCCUGGGUUUGAUCCCCAGCACCA
rnacentral:tRNA from 1 species